rnacentral:rRNA from 1 species
GGGCCCGCACAAGCGGUGGAGCAUGUGGUUUAAUUCGAUGAUACGCGAGGAACCUUACCAGGGCUUAAAUGUAGUUUGACCGGUCUGGAAACAGACUUUCUCUUCGGAGCAGAUUACAAGGUGCUGCAUGGUUGUCGUCAGCUCGUGCCGUGAGGUGUUAGGUUAAGUCCUGCAACGAGCGCAACCCCUAUUCUUAGUUGCCAGCGGUUCGGCCGGGGACUCUAAGAAGACUGCCAGCGCAAGCUGAGAGGAAGGUGGGGAUGACGUCAAAUCAUCACGGCCCUUACGUCCUGGGCUACACACGUGCUACAAUGGGUAGUACAGAGGGCCGCGAACCCGCGAGGGGGAGCUAAUCCCAAAAAACUGCUCGUAGUCCGGAUCGGAGUCUGCAACUCGACUCCGUGAAGUCGGAAUC